rnacentral:tRNA from 1 species
GGCCUGGUAGCCAAGUGGUAAGGCAAGGCACUGCAACUGCCUGAUGCGGGGGUUCAAAUCCGUCCCGGGCCU